ACACGUAGGAUCCGAGCGUUGUCCGGAUUUACUGGGCGUAAAGGGCGCGUAGGUGGCAUGUUAAGUCUCAUGUGAAAUCUCCCGGCUCAACUGGGAGGGGUCAUGGGAAACUAACAAGCUUGAGGGCAGGAGAGGAAAGCGGAAUUCCCGGAGUAGUGGUGAAAUGCGUAGAUACCGGGAGGAACACCAGAGGCGAAAGCGGCUUGCUGGGCUGUCCCUGACACUGAGGCGCGAAAGCAUGGGGAGCAAACCGGAUUAGAAACCCCGGUAGUCC
rnacentral:rRNA from 1 species